GCAGCAACGGAAAGGCGCCACGCUCGUGAGGGGAACCAGCUUUCCGGGGACGCUCAGUGUGGGCAGGCAGGAAGCCUGGCUCCACUGGGACACACAGAUUCUCUCCUGAGCAGCUGCGAACUAUGCGCCCCUUCUACCCUUAAGAGAUGGGAUGGGAGUCCAACAAACGCAGCCAUUGCUCAGACCCCAGCCCUUCUCUCCUCUAAGAAGCAGGUUCACCUCUACCACAGCACUCGCAUUUUUUUUUUUUUAAAGCCCGGCCUUUCCUAGGCGGGGUCAAGGGCCCCGCCCACCGAAGCCACGCCCAGUAGCCGCCCCGGGGCGGGGCUCCCCUCGGCUCCCGGCUGCCCUUUCCCCUCCGGCCUCUUCCCUUGCUGCUGCGCCCUGCGGAGCUCCGAACACGUGCGCAGAGGCCGGCUGUGGCAGAUGCAACUUCAGGAUGACUUGAAAGUAGGGCAUCCUUCACCCAUCUGAAGGGAGGAAAUAGUGGCAGGUGACAGUCUGCAUGUGCAGUUUUCAGAUGCCUUCACCUGAAUGACAUCUACCUCCAUCAGGACUCCAGAUGUCUGACAGCCCUGUGUGACACCAAGAUAAGUAAUGAUCCUAUUGAAGAUACCACAUUACACUUAGGCUCCUGUUGGCCAUGACAGCUUCUUAGACUUGUUUUUAAUGACCUUGACAGUUUUGUUUUGUUUUUUUGUUUGUUUGUUUUUAUUUGAGACGGAGUCUCGCUCUGUCGUCCAGACUGGAGUGCAAUGGCUCAAUCUCAGCUCACUGCAACCUCUCCCUCCCGGGUUCAAGUGAUUCUCCUGCCUCAGCCUCCCCAGUAGCUGGGAUUACAGGCAUGAGCCACUGCGCCUGGCCGCCUCCUAAAUUCUUAAAACAUUCUAUUUUUAUUCUGUGGUCUUAGUUUAUUCUGUCACGUAGAGAAUAGUGGUUGAGCCUGUUGUCUUUGAGAGUGGAUGCUGUAGUCCUUAUAUGGCUGAUUUUCACCCCAUAAGCUUAUAGUAGAGGAUGGGGAUUUUGUUAUCAGCUGCUAAAAGGGAGAAGCCAAACCCAGAACUAAGGGUUCUGAUGAGUUGAAGGAGAGGGAAGAUGCUACUCAAGGCAAAGAGCCUCUGAGUUAGAAUCUGUGCUUCACCAGAGUGACAAUGGUAGAACUUCUCCUUCUCAGUAUUAAUUCUCCUGGAGAGAACUCUAGGGUUGUCUAAACCUGUUCAAAUAGGCUGACUACCCCAGCAAGUGAUGGGUUGGACAUAAGGCAAAGAACAGGAGGGGUGAAAGGGGGCAGAACAGACAAGUUCUGUCCCAGCCUCUGCUACCUCUAACCCCAUGGCAUUCUAUCCCUUUCUACACUGGGCUUCCAUUUCUUACCCCAACCAUGAUCUGUUCUUCCAGACACUUGACCUCCUUCUGAUUUGUGUACUCCCUCCAAGGCUGAGUUGCAGUGAGUGACAAUAAUCUGUGCUAAUUACUUAUCUUGCCAGAAGACUCAAAGGGUUUAUGGCUUUUAUUAACUGAACUCUAUGCUAGAUGUUAGGGAUAAAUGGUUAACAGGACACAGUUCUUGCUUAUCUUGCUAUGGUCUAUCAAGCCUUAUACAAUCUAGCCUUAUCUCUCUCACCCUCUUAUCUUUAUCACCCGUAGAUUCCCUUGUUGGCCGCCAUGCUGGUUUCUUUCAGUCCUUAAUUAGCCUUUUGUCACUACCUGUCUACACAUGCUGUUUUUCCCUUCUGGUUCCAUCUUGACAUUGUCUAUUUUGAGAUCUCAGCUCAGUUGUAGAGAAGCUGCCUUCCCUGUCUGGCAACCCAUUAUGUGUCAUAGUACCAUGUUGUACCAUAGAGCUAGACACAGGUGCCAUGUUAUGUCUUGAAAUGUAUUUACCAGCUUCCAAAGGUUUACCUCAAUCCCCUUUACUCAAGAAGCCUCAGUUCUACUGACAGUUGGUAAUAAUAACCCCUCUGUCAUAAUGUACCCAAAAUAGAGUAAGAAUAUCAUGCUUUUCAGUAAUACUCCAGUGAGUGAGGCUAAGAGUACCAUUUCUGUUCUUGUAAAAGAAUUUUUUUGGACAUGAAUACAAAGGUGUCAGGUUACCAAAUCAUUUGCUAGUAGACCCUAACAAUAUAACCUAUAGGAAACUAAAUGUAACCUUUAAACAUUAAGUGAUGAUAAUGGAUUUCACCAGGCGUGGUUGCCUAUAAUCCCAACACUGAGAGGCUGAGGUGGGUGGAUCACUUGAGGCCAGGACAGGACCAGCAUGGCCAACAUGGUGAAACCCCAUCUCUACAAAA